UUAACGCAGCAGGGGUUGACGCUGGCGCUGAGCGAGCAGUUCAGCGGCGGGUUGAUCAAUCUGCAACUGCAGAGCGAAGCCGCGCCGUUGGCC
rnacentral:tRNA from 1 species